rnacentral:rRNA from 1 species
UGGGGAAUAUUGCGCAAUGGGGGGAACCCUGACGCAGCCAUGCCGCGUGAAUGAAGAAGGCCUUCGGGUUGUAAAGUUCUUUCGGUAUUGAGGAAGGUUGAUGUGUUAAUAGCACAUCAAAUUGACGUUAAAUACAGAAGAAGCGCCGGCUAACUCCGUGCCAGCAGCCGCGGUAAUACGGAGGGCGCGAGCGUUAAUCGGAAUAACUGGGCGUAAAGGGCACGCAGGCGGUUAUUUAAGUGAGGUGUGAAAGCCCCGGGCUUAACCUGGGAAUUGCAUUUCAGACUGGGUAACUAGAGUACUUUAGGGAGGGGUAGAAUUCCACGUGUAGCGGUGAAAUGCGUAGAGAUGUGGAGGAAUACCGAAGGCGAAGGCAGCCCCUUGGGAAUGUACUGACGCUCAUGUGCGAAAGCGUGGGGAGCAAACAGGAUUAGAUACCCUGGUAGUCCACGCUGUAAACGCUGUCGAUUUGGGGGUUGGGGUUUAACUCUGGCGCCCGUAGCUAACGUGAUAAAUCGACCGCCUGGGGAGUACGGCCGCAAGGUUA